CCUACGGGGAGCAGCAGUGGGGAAUAUUGGACAAUGGGCGAAAGCCUGAUCCAGCCAUGCCGCGUGUGUGAAGAAGGCCUUCGGGUUGUAAAGCACUUUCAGUGGGGAAGAAAGCCUUGGGGCUAAUACCCUCGAGGAAGGACAUCACCCACAGAAGAAGCACCGGCUAACUCCGUGCCAGCAGCCGCGGUAAUACGGAGGGUGCGAGCGUUAAUCGGAAUUACUGGGCGUAAAGCGCGCGUAGGCGGUCUGAUAAGCCGGUUGGGAAAGCCCCGGGCUCAACCUGGGAACGGCAUCCGGAACUGUCAGGCUAGAGUGCAGGAGAGGAAGGUAGAAUUCCCGGUGUAGCGGUGAAAUGCGUAGAGAUCGGGAGGAAUACCAGUGGCGAAGGCGGCCUUCUGGACUGACACUGACGCUGAGGUGCGAAAGCGUGGGUAGCAAACAGGAUUAGAUACCCCGGUAGUC
rnacentral:rRNA from 1 species